UUUAGAGCAUUUCCAGCAAUGAGACCAAGAGAAAAAUUGGGGAGGAGGGGGGGGGGGGGGGGGGGCCAAACCCAAAAUGCUGUUUCUAGCAACAAAAAAUGGCCCGGGCAAGGAGUGGGACCCAACAAACUGGGCUAGCCCAAGGGGAAGGUUGGCCUGAGCGCCAGCCCACGUUUUGGAGAUGACUUCAGCUAGCUGACGUCACGAUGACGCGCCCGCUACAGUCCCCCAACGGCUAGCUUCCACGUGGCACACGCUGGGCUCUCCGAUCAGACUUUUUCCAGCAAUCCAAAGGCACCCAAUUUUUGUGCAAUUAAAAAAUGAAAAAUAAUCGGAAAAAAUACCAAAAAAUUACUUUUUUAUUUUUUAUUUUUUUUCUCUAUACCUUAUUUCCAUUUUCAACAUUUAAGUAAAUGUCGGAAGUGCCC
rnacentral:lncRNA from 1 species